rnacentral:tRNA from 1 species
GCCUUCGUGGCUCAAUGGUACAGCAGUCGAUUUGUAAUCGACCAUUUCCUCGUUCAAGUCGGGGCGAAGGCACCA